GGUAGAAUGGCUUAAGUGGCAGAGCAUCUGUCUAAUAAGCAAGAGGUUCUGAGUUCCAUCCCCAGUAUCACCA
rnacentral:tRNA from 1 species